rnacentral:rRNA from 1 species
GCAAGUCGAGCGCCCCGCAAGGGGAGCGGCGGACGGGAGAGUAACACGUGGGAACGUACCCUUCGGUUCGGAACAACCCAGGGAAACUUGGGCUAAUACCGGAUACGUCCGAAAGGAGAAAGAUUCAUCGCCGAAGGAUCGGCCCGCGUCUGAUUAGCUUGUUGGUGAGGUAACGGCUCACCAAGGCGACGAUCAGUAGCUGGUCUGAGAGGAUGAUCAGCCUCACUGGGACUGAGACACGGCCCAGACUCCUACGGGAGGCAGCAGUGGGGAAUAUUGGACAAUGGGCGCAAGCCUGAUCCAGCCAUGCCGCGUGGGUGAUGAAGGCCCUAGGGUUGUAAAGCCCUUUCGGCGGAGAAGAUAAUGACGGUACCCGCAGAAGAAGCCCCGGCUAACUUCGUGCCAGCAGCCGCGGUAAUACGAAGGGGGCUAGCGUUGCUCGGAAUCACUGGGCGUAAAGCGCACGUAGGCGGAUUGUUUAGUCAGGGGUGAAAUCCUGGAGCUCAACUCCAGAACUGCCCUUGAUACUGGCGAUCUUGA